GCUUUUGAAAAAACCUCUUGGUUCUUACUCCUUCAAGUUAUGAGAUUACCCCACGUACAGUACCAAAAAGUGGAUUUUUUUUGCAAACAACAGAUCAUGCCCAGUCAUAAUCAUUAUAAGCCUCAAUACACCUCCAGUUGAUCUUUCAAAACACCAAACCUUUACUAGAAGUGGUUUUCAAAUAUCUCAUAAUUUUGUUUUCUACCUUCAUAUGUUCCUGAUAAGAAGCCUGCAUAAACUGACUAACAGUAUUCACUACAUAGGAGAUAUAUGGUCUAGUGUGAGAUAAGUAAAUCAACUUUUUCACUAGAUGCUGAUACUUUUCUUUAUUAACUAAAAGUUUAUCUACAAAAUUAUACAGUUUAUCAUUGAACUCAAUGAGAGUAUCAUUAAGUCUACAUCCCAUCAUACAUGUUUUCGUUAACAAGUCAAGGGCCUACUUUUCUUGGGAUACAGAAAUACCUUCUUUUGAUCUUGAUGCCUCCAUCCCAAGGAAGUACUUUAGACUUCACAAAUCUUUAAUCUAAAACUCAUCCCUCAUCCUUUUUUUCAGUUGGACAAUAUCAAUAAUGUCAAUUCUAUAUAACACAAUAUCAUCAACAUAGACGAUCAACACAACAAUUUGUCCAAACUUAGAAACUUUUGUAAACAAAAUGUGAUCAUAAUGUCAUUGUCUAUAUCCUUGAGACUUAACAAAUGUGGUAAACCUGUCAAACCAUAAUAUCAACAAUUGUUUUAGACCAUACAAGGAUUUCUGAAGCCAUAGACUUGAUGGUCAAACUGAGCUUCAAAGCCUAGAGGAGGACUUAUAUAGAAUUUUUCUUCCAAGUCUCAAUUUAUGAAUGUGUUUUUAACUCUAGCUGAUACAGAGGCCGAUCUUUAUUUACUACAACAGAUAAAAGAACCCUAACAGUAUUUAACUUUGCAAUAGAAAAAAAAUGUCUCAGAGUAGUCGACCCCAUAAGUCUAAGUAAAUCAUUUUGCAACUAACUUGGGCUUGUGUUUGUCUAAAGUUUCAUCAUAUUUGUAUUUUAGAGUAAACACCUGCUUACAUCCCACUGUUUUAUGCUAUUUAGGGAGAGCACAAAGCUCCCAAGUUUUGUUCUUCUCAAGCGCUCUCAUCUCUUCCAUGGAUGCAACCUACAACUCAGAAUAAUUUAAGGGAAGAUGAAUAUUCAUAGGUAUAGUAGUAGAACCAAGACUAGUUGUAAAUGCUUCGAACUGGGAUGAUAGGUUCUUCUAAGACACAUUAUUAUAGAUAGAGUGCUUCGUGCAAAGCUCGGUUUCUUUUCUCGGUGCAAUAGAAUUAUUAAGGGAUGGACAAUGCUCAUCAAGAUUGCUUGAAAUGAUUUAAUUUAGUCUCAUCAACUUUAGUUUUACUACAAUCUUAAUUUCAUCAACACUACCUCUUUCACCCACAUCUUCUAGAACCCUUUUCAUCCAUAUCUUCUAGAAUGGCUAUAUCGAUCAUAUUAUUCUCAACCAUUUUAUUGUCAACAUAUGAGUCAUUAGAUUCAAUCAUACCUUGGCCUUGUGAUGAUUCAGAUUCUUAGACCGGGGAAGAUUGAGCAGUAAGGAACCCAACUUCCUUUUUUAGAUUCCUCCUAUAAAAAGUUAUCGAAGGAACUUGGUUUGUUGGUUGGACAAUAUUGUGAGGAUUUGAGGUAAGAUAAAGUUAAGGAAGUAGAACUAUUGGACUCUAAGGGAAUCACACCAUUAACCUCUUCACUUACACUUUUCCCUUGAAGCAGACUAAUGAGAAAGAGAGGUCGAUCCUUAAGGAAAGUGGCAUCUAUGGAAACAAAGUACUUACGAGAUGGAGAAUCGAAACAUGUAUAGCACAUUCAUGAAGAGGAUACCCAACAAAAACACAUGUGUGAGCUUGAGGAGUGAACUUGAGUAUGUUUAAGGUCAUGGCUAUAAAUGUAAGGAGUGCGCCCAACACAUAAAGGGUGUUGGAAUUUAUGUCCUUAAACUCGUAGUUUGUAGUUUAAAUUAUAUUCUAUUCUAUAAAGUUGUUAUUGAGAAUUUAUUAGUGAAAAUUGAAUACUAUAAUCUUGAAUCCAAUAAACUAAGGUCCUGAGGCUAUCUAGUAUAAACUUGAACUUUAUGUAGUGACAUAAACGUGGAUCAAGUUUGAGUAUAUAGCCUAAACGGUCUAUAGUAUAUGAAUAGGAAUAAGGUUAGGUGUCUUAUUCUGGGGACACUAUGGAUGCAACUCUCUUUGUAGUUAGUAUAAACGAUGUGAUCCUAAGUUGCUCAUGUAGAGACAUGUAAGUGAGGACAUCCUAUGUAAAAGGUUUACAUAAAAGUGGAACCAUGAACAAGUCACUUUUAUGUUAUAACAUCGUUGACUGUUUAAAACUGAUUAUUUCGAUUACUAAUGAACUAGGUAACUUUUUAAUCAUGAGAUAACUAUGAACUUCUGUUCACACAAAAUUAUCCUUAGAUUUGCGUAGAUGGGGAGAUCUCAACAACGUUGGCCCAAUAAGCCUCUAUUUUAGGGGUAAAUUUGGGUGGAUAUCUAAGGACAUAGAGCGCCAGAGAGAAUUCACUCUAACAAGGUUAGUAGAUAGGUUGUUCUCUUAAGGACUGAAUCCAAGUCUUGAACAAAGAGCCCCACUCUUUCAUUGGCCUAAGAGGGAUUCAAUUUAUAAGUUUGACCUAAAACAAAUUGUUCAAUAAUGAAUCAAUGUGACUAAAGAUCAAGAUGUAAUCUCAGAGGUAAAAUGAUAUUUUGAAGCAACCAAAGUUAUGAACCACUUUUUGUAAAAGAUUAAUUUACUGAUCAUGGUUAUAUCAUAUGGAGACAAAUAUCUCUAUUGUGCGAGGAGUGCAACUAUGAGACUUUAGUGGAAUGACAUGUUAGUUAAUAAAUGUUGAUUAGCUCGAUAUCUAAAAGGUUUAGCUUGUUUAUCUCAGAUCGUUGGAGCCCAUGAUCUAUAAGUCCAUUUAGAUCAUUUGCUAGCUCAUAUGGAAUUAACUUAGAACAAUAUGAUGAAAUAAUUUAGAUUGUUCAAAUUAGAUAAAGAGAGAGAAACCAACAAAUAUAUAUGAUAUAACCGUCGGUUAUUAGUUUGAAAUAGAGCUUUAUGUUUAAAUAUGAUUUAAAUAUAAAAAAUAUGAAUUUUGUGCUUUAUGUUUAAAUAAUUUAGAUUGUUCAAAUUAGAUAAGGAGUGCAACUAUGAGCUUUAUGUUUAAAUAUUGACGUCUGUUAUAAAAUAUGUAACACCCUAAAAAUAAUAAGUUAAAUUUCUUAAUUUUAAUAUAAUGAAUUUUGGUGUUAUUUGAGAAAUUGUUUGAAAUUGUGGAAAUUAAGCAUUUUAGAAGGUCAUGUAAUUAAUUUUUGGAAAUAUGAAUUCUAUGUUUAAAGUUUUAAUUGUUGAAGUGAUAGUAUUGGUGAAUUAAGUUGGUAAAGUAAAAGUGCAUGGAUAAUUAUUUUUAUGGAUAUGUUUUAAGUCAUGGAGGAGUGAGACUAAUUUUAUUUUGAAAUAAAUACAAUUAUAAAGGAAAAUGUAUCUUUUGUUGGAAAAAGAGAAAGAUUAAAGAGGAUGGAAUGAGUUAUUAAUUAAGGAGAGAUAAGGAGGUUGUUUGUUAUGGUGGAAAAAUUAAAGGUAUAAUAAUAGUAAUAAUUAAUAAUAAUAAUAAUAUGAUUAUUAAAUAGAGUAAUUUUGGGAAGCGUGAACUUACUAUUCACCUUCUUCUCCACACUCUUCCUCUUUCCUUCAUGAUUAAAGCCCUAGCGCCACCCCUCUUCACCAUGCAUCUUUGGCCACCCUCGCAAGCGGUACAUCUCCAUCAUCUCGACUACAAUCCUCUUCCGUUCCGAAGUUGAAGCAUCCACUGUACGCUGUCGAAGCCGAGCCCGUCGCGUGAGUCCUCGUCUGCGCCGUGUUCUUUACCGUCGCGAGUCACCGACCGCCUCAACUCAUCAGAUCCGAACGUCUCUCUCCGCACACAGUCUGUCACGUGAGUCCGUCGUCCGAGCCACCUUCUCGCGAAGCCAAGCCAGUUUUCCCUUCACCGAGCCAGUUUUGCGUAAGCCGUACGCGAGCCACGUAAAACCGAGCCACUUUCGUGUGAGCGUACGCGAGCCACACUCACUGAGCCAGUUUCGUGUAAGCCAUACGCGAGCCACGUGUAUCGAGCCAUUCUUAUGUAAGCCGUACGCGAGCCGGAAGUCCAAGACCCGAGCCGAAGCCCUUGCUAGCCGAGCCACCUUCAGUUUUAGUCGUCUGCAAUAUAUUUGAGCCCUUAGUGAGUUUUGGUUAGUUCUGGUUGGGUUUGGUAUGCGCAAAUAAUUAUUGUUUUCGGUCUUAAAAGAGUUAGCGCUGGAAUGAGUUGAAUUAUGUUGUUUAAAGGUUAAGGUGUGGUUUGAGGAAUUGAGUUGUGCAAAUUUCCAUUCAAGGUUGUAUUGGGAUCAACUUUAAACCUGCUGUAAGUUUAGAUAAGUUGGUUGCCUAAUUAAAAGUCGAAAAAAUUAUUAAGUUUAAUUUAUAAUUAAUUUUGAUAAUGUUUUAGGACUGAGUUUAUUGGGAGGAUUUAAGUUUAAUUUAUAAUUAAUUUUGAUAAUGUUUUAGGACUGAGUUUAUUGGGAGGAUUUGACUCUCAAUGAGAGGAGUACUAUUUCUUUUGCUUGUUUAGUGGUGUAACUAAGAGAUGUAUAAUAUGUAUAUUUGAGAUGACCUUAUAAAUAGUUACUUCGGGAACCAUAUUAUGAUUUAGAUACAAUAUUAUUUAUUGAGGCAUGUUAUGACCAAAUAUGUACUUUUGAGUUAUGUCUAACUGAGCUAAGAUGUUGAUGUUAUGAUAAGCAUGUAUAGGCUAUAGUGUUAUGUUAGUUUUGUCUGUUAGAGUCGUGCCGUAUGGGGGCCCCUCAGGUUACCACAUAUGUAUGCUUGUGUGGCUAGUUUGAGAUGUGAAUCCUAUAGGGUGAUUCCUUCGAGUUCACUGAGAGCCCAGAUGUGUCCCUACGGGACCAUUGGAUAAUAUGCGUUCGGGAGCGCAAUAGUAUACGGUACCAUGUUACAGGACUCUAACGAGAUGUUAAUAGACACAUAGUAAGACUAAUAUGAGUCUCUUACUGAGUAUAAAUUUAUACUCACUCCUUUAAAUGUUUAAUUUUCAGGUAAGGGUAGAGGCAAGGGAAGGGCAAACCGGCGAAUGAUAAUAAGUGAUUGAGGAUCACCAUAGGAAAUAAUUAAGUUUUCUUCCGCAUUUAUAUUUAAGUAGUUAUAUUUUCAUAGGUUUAUUUCAGAACUCCGGUUCAAUUACUUUAAGUAUUUCUUCUAUUUUAUGGGCCCAAACUAGUAUUUUGAUUAGUUAUUUUAA
rnacentral:lncRNA from 1 species